AGCAGCAUGGCGCAGUUGGUCUAGCGCGCGGGGCCCAUACUAUGUAACCCCGAGGUCACUCGAUCGAAACGAGUUGCUGCUA
rnacentral:tRNA from 1 species